AUGUGACUCAAUGGUAGAGUGCUUGCUUGGCAGGCAUGAUGCCCUGGGUUCAAUCCCCAGCAU
rnacentral:tRNA from 1 species